UACGAAGGGGGCUAGCGUUGUUCGGAAUUACUGGGCGUAAAGCGCACGUAGGCGGGUUGUUAAGUCAGGGGUGAAAUCCUGGAGCUCAACUCCAGAACUGCCUUUGUUACUGGCAACCUAGAGACUGGAAGAGGUUAGUGGAAUUCCCAGUGUAGAGGUGAAAUUCGUAGAUAUUGGGAAGAACACCAGUGGCGAAGGCGGCUAACUGGUCCAGCACUGACGCUGAGGUGCGAAAGCGUGGGGAGCAAACAGG
rnacentral:rRNA from 1 species